rnacentral:rRNA from 1 species
CCUACGGGUGGCAGCAGUGGGGAAUAUUGGGCAAUGGGCGCAAGCCUGACCCAGCAACGCCGCGUGAAGGAAGAAGGCUUUCGGGUUGUAAACUUCUUUUCUGAGGGACGAAGAAAGUGACGGUACCUCAGGAAUAAGCCACGGCUAACUACGUGCCAGCAGCCGCGGUAAGACGUAGGUGGCAAGCGUUAUUCGGAUUUAUUGGGGGUAAAGGGCGUGUAGGCGGGAAAGCAAGUCAGAUGUGAAAACUUAGGGCUCAACCCUGGGACUGCAUUUGAAACUGUUUUUCUUGAGUGCUGGAGAGGUAAGCGGAAUUCCGGGUGUAGCGGUGAAAUGCGUAGAGAUCCGGAGGAACACUCGUGGCGAAGGCGGAUUGCUGGACAGUAACUGACGCUGAGGCGCGAAAGCGUGGGGAGCAAACAGGAUUAGAUACCCCUGUAGUC